UGUGUAGGCAAUAAAUGCAGUCGGAGGUAGCACAGAGGACCUGGUUCCUCGUGUGACGAGUGGCGCACGGGUGAGUAGUGUGGGGAGAUCUGCCCGAUAGAGGGAGAUAACCUGUGGAAACGGUGGCUAAUACCGCAUAACCUCACAAGACCAAAGAGGGGGAUCUUCGGCCCUCUCACUAUCAUAAGCCCCCAUAUGGUAUUAUCUAGUGCGGGGUGUAACGGCCCACCUACGACAAUAUCCCUAUGUGGUCUGAGAAGAUGACCACCCACUGUGGAUCUGACACACGGUCCACACUCCUACGGGGGGCAACUGUGGGGAAUAUUGCACAGUGGGCGCACGCCUGAUGCACCCGUGCCGCGUGUAUGAAAAGCGUCUUCGGUUUGUAAAGUAUUUUCCGCGGAGAAGAGGGCUGUGAUGUUAAUACCCUUAGUGAUUGAUUUUACCCGCAAAAAAAGCCCCGGAUAUCUCCGUGCCAACACCCGCGGUAAUACAGAGGGUGCACGCGUAACUCAAAAUCAGUGCGCGAAACGCACACGCGCGCGCUCUGAUAUCUCAUAUGUAAUAUCCGGGCUCUUAAUGUGGAAUCUGCUUUAGACACGGGCGCGCUUGACUCUCAUAGAGGGGGGUAGAAUUCCGUGUGUAGCGGAGAAGUGCAUAGAGAUCUAGAAGAACACGUGUGGAAAGCGCGGCCCUGUGCACGAACACUGACUCUCGUGUGCAAAAGCGUGGAGAGCACACGAGAAUAUACACUGUGAUACUACACGGCAUACAAUGUCUCCUCGUGGGGGGUGCUCUCGUGAAGAGUGUUCCGGAGAUAUCACGUGAUAACUCCAGCGUGUGGGAGUACACGGCGCAAGGAUAACACUCAUGAGAAGAGACGGGCCCCGCACACGCUGGUAGAACAUGUGGUAUAAUUCUGUACAC
rnacentral:rRNA from 1 species